rnacentral:rRNA from 1 species
UACGUAGGGGGCUAGCGUUGUCCGGAAUCAUUGGGCGUAAAGCGCGUGUAGGCGGUUCGGUAAGUCCGCUGUGAAAGUCGGGGGCUCAACCCUCGAAAGCCGGUGGAUACUGUCGGGCUAGAGUACGGAAGAGGCGAGUGGAAUUCCUGGUGGAGCGGUGAAAUGCGUAGAUAUCGCUUGGAACGCCGACGGUGAAAACAGCUCGCUGGGGAUUUGCUGACGCUGAGACACGAAAGCCAGGGGAGCAAACGGG